GUGCUCGCUUCGGCAGCACAUAUACUAAAAUUGGAACGAUACAGAGAAGAUUAGCAUGGCCCCUGCGCAUGGAUGACACGCAAAUAAACAAACUUUCAAAGUUUGG